GAUGAACGCUGGCUACAGGCUUAACACAUGCAAGUCGAGGGGAAACGCCGGGGAAGCUUGCUUCCCCGGGCGUCGACCGGCGCACGGGUGAGUAACGCGUAUCCAACCUGCCUCUGACUGAGGGAUAACCCGUCGAAAGUCGGCCUAAUACCUCAUGGUAUCGUCUGCGGGCAUCCAACGACGAUUAAAGAUUUCAUCGGUCAGGGAUGGGGAUGCGUCUGAUUAGCUUGUUGGCGGGGUAACGGCCCACCAAGGCUACGAUAAGUAGGGGUUCUGAGAGGAAGGUCCCCCACAGUGGACCUGCGACACGGUCCAAACUCCUACGGGAGGCAGCAGUGGGGAAUAUUGGUCAAUGGGCGAGAGCCUGAACCAGCAAAGUAGUGUGCAGGAAGACGGCCCUAGGGGUUGUAAACUGCUUUUAUGCGGGGAUAAAGUGAGGGACGUGUCCCUCAUUGCAGGUACCGCAUGAAUAAGGACCGGCUAAUUCCGU
rnacentral:rRNA from 1 species